rnacentral:ncRNA from 1 species
CAAGCAUCAAGAAGGGCUAACGCCCGCCAACCUGCCUCCCUGGGCAAGGUGGUUCCCCAAAGGGGAUGUGGCCGAUAUCGGCAACCAAGCAG